rnacentral:rRNA from 1 species
GAUGAACGCUGGCGGCGUGCCUAAUACAUGCAAGUCGAGCGAACAGACGAGGAGCUUGCUCCUCUGACGUUAGCGGCGGACGGGUGAGUAACACGUGGAUAACCUACCUAUAAGACUGGGAUAACUUCGGGAAACCGGAGCUAAUACCGGAUAAUAUAUUGAACCUCAUUGUUCAAUAGUGAAAUACGGUUUUGCUGUCACUUAUAGAUUGAUCCGGGCCGCAUUAGCUAGUUGGUAAGGUAACGGCUUACCAAGGCAACGAUGCGUAGCCGACCCGAGAGGGUGAUCGGCCACACUGGAACUGAGACACGGUCAAGACUCCUACGGGAGGCAGCAGUAGGGAAUCUUCCGCAAUGGGCGAAAGCCUGACGGAGCAACGCCGCGUGAGUGAUGAAGGUCUUCGGAUCGUAAAACUCUGUUAUUAGGGAAGAACAAAUGUGUAAGUAACUAUGCACGUCUUGACGGUACCUAAUCAGAAAGCCACGGCUAACUACGUG